rnacentral:rRNA from 1 species
AUUGAACGCUGGCGGCGUGCUUAACACAUGCAAGUCGAUCGGUAACGCGGGGGCAACCCCGGCGACGAGAGGCGGACGGGUGAGGAACGCUUGGGAAUCUGCCCUUCAGCGGGGGACAACACGGGGAAACUCGUGCUAAUACCGCAUACGCUCCACGGAGGAAAGCCGGGGACCGCAAGGCCUGGCACUGAAGGAUGAGCCCAAGUCGGAUUAGCUAGUUGGCGGGGUAACGGCCCACCAAGGCGACGAUCCGUAGCUGGUCGGAGAGGACGAUCAGCCACACUGGGACUGAGACACGGCCCAGACUCCUACGGGAGGCAGCAGUGGGGAAUAUUGGACAAUGGGGGAAACCCUGAUCCAGCGACGCCGCGUGGGUGAAGAAGGCCUGCGGGUUGUAAAGCCCUUUCGGUAGGGACGAAAGCUCUCGACCUAACACGUCGGGAGGUUGACUUAACCUACAAAAGAAGCACCGGCUAACUCUGUGCCAGCCGCCGCAGUAAAAC